rnacentral:rRNA from 1 species
AUGCCGGAUGCUCCAUCACACCGCAUGGUGUGUUGGGAAAGCCUUUGCGGCAUGGGAUGGGGUCGCGUCCUAUCAGCUUGAUGGCGGGGUAACGGCCCACCAUGGCUUCGACGGGUAGCCGGCCUGAGAGGGCGACCGGCCACAUUGGGACUGAGAUACGGCCCAGACUCCUACGGGAGGCAGCAGUGGGGAAUAUUGCACAAUGGGCGCAAGCCUGAUGCAGCGACGCCGCGUGAGGGAUGGAGGCCUUCGGGUUGUAAACCUCUUUUGUUAGGGAGCAAGGCAUUUUUUGUUGAGUGUACCUUUCGAAUAAGCACCRRCUAACUACGUGCCAGCAGCCGCGGUAAUACGUAGGGUGCAAGCGUUAUCCGGAAUUAUUGGGCGUAAAGGGCUCGUAGGCGGUUCGUCGCGUCCGGUGUGAAAGUCCAUCGCUUAACGGUGGAUCCGCGCCGGGUACGGGCGGGCUUGAGUGCGGUAGGGGAGACUGGAAUUCCCGGUGUAACGG